rnacentral:rRNA from 1 species
CAACUCGCCUCGCAUGAAGUCGGAAUUGCUAGUAAUCGCGGAUCAGCAUGCCGCGGUGAAUACGUUCUCGGGCCUUGUACACACCGCCCGUCACACCAUGGGAGUCGGUAACACCCGAAGUCUGUAGCCUGACGCAAGAGGGCGCAGCCGAAGGUGGGAUUGAUGACUGGGGUGAAGUCGUAACAAGGUAUC